AUGCAGCCGUACAGACUGAAUGCAUUCGGCGCCAAGUCUCACAUUAAGUUACAGAGUAAAUCCUACGGUCCAUUUCGAGUGAUUGCUAAAGUGGGUGCUGUGGCCUACAAACUGCUGCUACCAGAUGAUGCUGCCAUUCAUCCGGUUUUCCACGUUAGUCAGCUCAAGAAACAUCUGGGGCCGUUGGCAAUUCCCUGUGCAGAUCUUCCUUUGGUUGGCCCUGAUGGUCGCGUGCGCACUGAACCAAGUCUGGUUCUUGAAACUCGCCAAAUUCCUCGCAAUAAUUUACCAGUGGUCCAGUGGUUAGUCCAAUGGGAAAAUUUACCCCCUGAAGACGCGUCAUGGGAAGAUGCUGAUUUCAUCAAGAAGACGUUUCCGACCUUCUUCAAGCAAACGACUGCCGGGUGGUUCAAUCGACAAGCUUCUUGA
rnacentral:rRNA from 1 species